GAGCUACUAGGUGAGGUGGGAUUCGUCGUCAAACUGUCAGCUCAUCCACGAAAUCAUCGACACUUAUGAGGACGACUUGCAGUUGCAGAGCAAGAAAAUGGAGAAAAACAAGAGAGAGAAGAGAAAGAGCAAGGCCAACAACAAUGGCAACAAAGGGUCCGCCGCCGCCACCUCCGGCGAGGC